rnacentral:lncRNA from 1 species
AUCCAACCCAUUUCUUAUUCAUCGACGAAAACUGAACAAACCCAACAUUCAUUUCAUCCUUACUCUUCACAAUAACCAAACUAAAUAACUUCUUUUUUUCUUCCAUGAACCGCACUACCUAACUUUAAACCACUCCAAAACUUUCGAUCCAUCACCACCAUAUAACAAAGGUAACACAACAACACCAAAGAACCAACUUGCUCAUUUGUCACGGUUCUCA